UACGUAGGUGGCAAGCGUUGUCCGGAAUUAUUGGGCGUAAAGCGCGCGCAGGCGGUCUUUUAAGUCUGAUGUGAAAGCCCACGGCUCAACCGUGGAGGGUCAUUGGAAACUGGGGGACUUGAGUGCAGGAGAGGAGAGCGGAAUUCCACGUGUAGCGGUGAAAUGCGUAGAGAUGUGGAGGAACACCAGUGGCGAAGGCGGCUCUCUGGACUGUAACUGACGCUGAGGCGCGAAAGCGUGGGGAGCAAACAGG
rnacentral:rRNA from 1 species